rnacentral:rRNA from 1 species
CAGCAGCCGCGGGAAUACGUAGGGUGCGAGCGUUAAUCGGAAUUACUAGGCGUAAAGCGUGCGCAGGCGGUUUUGUAAGACAGGCGUGAAAUCCCCGGGCUCAACCUGGGAAUGGCGCUUGUGACUGCAAAGCUAGAGUGCGGCAGAGGGGGAUGGAAUUCCGCGUGUAGCAGUGAAAUGCGUAGAUAUGCGGAGGAACACCGAUGGCGAAGGCAAUCCCCUGGGCCUGCACUGACGCUCAUGCACGAAAGCGUGGGGAGCAAACAGGAUUAGAUACCCCCGUAGUCCCUGUCUCUUAUAC